UUAGCUGGUCUGAGAGGAUGACCAGCCACACUGGAACUGAGACACGGUCCAGACUCCUACGGGAGGCAGCAGUGGGGAAUAUUGGACAAUGGGGGAAACCCUGAUCCAGCAAUGCCGCGUGUGUGAAGAAGGCCUGAGGGUUGUAAAGCACUUUCAGUGGGGAGGAGGGUUGAUAGGUUAAGAGCUAAUUAACUGGACGUUACCCACAGAAGAAGCACCGGCUAACUCCGUGCCAGCAGCCGCGGUAAUACGGAGGGUGCGAGCGUUAAUCGGAAUUACUGGGCGUAAAGGGUGCGUAGGUGGUUUAUUAAGUUAUCUGUGAAAUCCCUGGGCUUAACCUGGGCAGGUCAGAUAAGACUGGUUGACUCGAGUAUGG
rnacentral:rRNA from 1 species